CUGCACUCCUACUGCUUCUGGUCCCGGGGGAACAGGAGCACGGGUGCCGCCUGCAGGAGCAGGUGGAGAAGGACAGCGAGCUGAAGAGGGGCAGCUGCCGACAGCCAGGUGCACACGCUGCAGGAGGAGCUGGACGAGCUGAAGGGAGGGGCUCCCUAACUGAGCAGCCUGCUGCCCCCAGCCGAGUUUGGUGGCAGCAGUGGGAUCCAAAGGAGACACCUGAUGGCUUCGAGGAUGAGAAACACAGUCAUUGGUACCCUCAAAACCUUUGAGUUCUCCAUCUUUUUCACUGUUUCUGAGGGCUGUGGGACCUCUUCCGGAAGGUGGUGCCCUCUCCGUGCCUGGGCUCCACCUGGGGCAAGAGGAGCAAGCCCGAAAUGAACACCAGACACCUACCGUCCAGGCCACCAUCGACCACGUCAGAAGGGUGGCCAGCUUCGUCAUCACCCCCUGCCUCAGGGACCCGAGCAUGACAGCCCAGGACAGGGUGAGGGUGGUGGAGCGCUGGAUCCAGGUGGCCCAGGUGUGCUGUGGGAGGCCCAGUGGAGUCCCUCUCUGAAGCCUUGGGAACUGCCUCUCCACCUUUAUCAGCUCCCAGGAUUGCAGUGUGUGGUCUAAGCCCUUGCACAGUCCCUAGGCCCUUCCUGCUAGGGGCCCGCUGACUUUGACUCCAGGUCCCAGUGAGAGGAUGCUCACUUCCUACCUGGCUCCUUCCCUGGGUUGAGCUAAAAUCCUGUUCCCUGUGAGUGUUACUCUUUGGGUCCUAAAUGUGCCCUUCUGGGACUCCCUGAGCAUCUGUCUCAUCCAGGAGGGGAGAUUUAAAUAGAAGGGGACUGAAGCUAGAGCAAGUGGGGCUACAGUGCCCCACCUCACAGCUCAUUCUCUUCCCUUCCCCAGGAGUGCGAGAACCUGAAGAACUUCUCCUCGCCCUGCACUGUCAUCUCUGCUCUGCAGAAAACCUCCACAAGCCACCUGAAGAACACACGGGGGAAGUUUCCCGGUGGGUAGGCCUCUCUCCAUAGGAGGACCAGGGUGGAUGGGGGAUCUCCUGUAUGUCUGCCAUUGGCCCCUCAGUCAGCUGGGAACUCCUGGGAGGUAGCAAAUGCUGGGGACCGGGCCUGGGCCUCGGCAGGGGGUCUCUAAACCUCCCGGGGUCCUUAGUGCACCAGUUCUGCUUCAGGACUCGGUUUCCCUAAGUGUCAGGUACUAAGUUGAGCCAAAUUGGGGAUUUUCAGGUGUUUAUAGCAACAAAACUCUAUGCCCAUUUGAAACUCAAAGCAGUCAAAACAGAGCUGCUCAGUAGAUCUGGAGAGUGGAGACCCCAGUGACCAACAGGAGAGCCCCCUCCCAGUACCAUGAGACCUUAGCGCUCAGAGGAGCCCAGUGAGAACACUUCUCCAGGCCAUUUGAAUCUCGGGUUUGCAAAGAAAAGGGAUUUGCAUUCAGACCCCUCACAUUAUUCCUAAAUUUAUCCCUCGUUCUUUCCCCUCCCCUGAGAGAGAGCCCUGAAAAUCUUCAGGAACUCAAUAGUCAAGACAAGUCCUUGAGCAGAGAACUGAUGAUCAAGGUUAACAAGCAGAGGGAUCUGUUCUGCCCAUGAGCAGGUGGGGUGCCGUUUGUGGGCAGGAGGCCCUGGUCAUGAGACACAAUGGUGUUGGCUGGGCUGUUCCAGGAGGAGUUGCCGAGCUGGCGCCAUCAACAGGUCUCUGGCUUCCAUGUAUGUCCAUCCUGCAGGAUGUAGCUUCUUCCAUGCUGUUGGGUGAUUGGUGUGGGUUUAGCCCUCAGCCUAAAACUAUCCUCAGGAAGCCAGGACCCCGCUGCUCCUUCUAUCUUCACCACAUCUCCAAGGGGCUGCAGCCUGCCUGCCCCAGGGAUGCGCAUGGCAGAGGAUUCCCAUGGCCCAGGUGGACAAACAGGCUGCUCAUCCUUAGAUGAGGAAACAGGCUCAAGGAGGCCAGGCCACGAGCCCA